rnacentral:other from 1 species
UGCACCCUGCUUUGUUCGUGAUAAGCCUUUUUAAACCCACAUUUAAAAUAAGGGAUUCCGACCUCUUUAGGUGAAUUGCAGGCCUCCCGUUGCGCCCCGCGCGUUAAUGGAUGUUGGAAGCAGAGAAGCUUGAAGGAGGAAACCCACCUGCCGAGUCGUGCAGGUUUUAAUGGGCUUACACGGCACGGUGGGGUCGUU